GAUGAAGAACGUAGCGAAAUGCGAUAAGUAGUGUGAAUUGCAGAAUUCAGUGAAUCAUCGAAUCUUUGAACGCACAUUGCGCCCUUUGGUAUUCCUUAGAGCAUGCCUGUUCGAGCGUCAUUUGAAACCUCAAGCUCAGCUUGGUGUUGGGUGUCUGUCCCCGCCUCCGCGGGGACUCGCCUCAAAAUCAUUGGCGGCCGGUACGUUGGCUUCGAGCGCAGCAGAAACGCGAACUCGAGGCCCGGCGGAUCGGCGACCAGAAGUCUCUUCUUCACAGUUUGACCUCGGAUCAGGUAGGGAUACCCGCUGAACUUAAGCAUAUCAAUAAGCGGAGGA
rnacentral:misc_RNA from 1 species